rnacentral:lncRNA from 1 species
CAAUUCUGAGUUUGGAUUUGGAUUCAGCGGGUCAAAAUACAUAAGGAUAGACUAGUCUGGUCCGCCGGACCAACCACUUUUUUUGUGUGCCGUUGAUACCAUUAUAUUAAUUGAAUACCGGCCUGGUGAUGAUAGCGCCCGUGAAUCGUGUAUUCCACACGAUGGUGCCAGUGUGUGCUUUACGUGAGAGGAGUCAAGAGAUUGCUGAAAGUUCACACGCUGAAAAAACACGGAAACUAUGCACAAUAUUUGUCACGUAUAUUGCGAACAACCGCCAUGAAGCAAGAGCACGUUUGAAGUGAAGUACAGCGCGGCGCACGCGCUAGCGCGCACAUUGUGGCGCUUCGCGAUUCACGCGAACGCUGAUAGAUCGAUAGAUGCUGCCAUCUGACGCGACGACGUGAGCUCAUUAUCUACUGAAUCUCGAACAAUAAAUUUUUGCUGUGUGAUUAGUACACAUCACUAGAGCAACGCACGCAAUAAAAUCGUGUUUUUCGAUCGAUGAAAGACGAACAUAUUGAACAACGUUCUUUUAAUCUAAAACAUUAUUUACUGACCGAUCUCGAAGAUUUUAGUCUUCUGGCCUUUUAUCUACUCCAGAAAGUUCUUAAUUACAUUUUUGAGUGAUAUUUUUAUGUAAUACAUACAUUUAACACAAUACUUAUUUACAACAUUUGAAACAUUUUAAUUAACAAAAUAAUCAUUUCAAAAUAGGUACCUGUAUUUUAAUUUUUGGCACACUACACUUUUUGUAACGUUUUUCCUACAUUGGGUCCGUGGGACCCGUAAUUUUUUUUUAAUGCACUGUUCAGCAGCUGGGGCUGGAGUGAGUUCGGUUAGGCGUCAGAGUGGUAGAGGAUAUGUUCCCCCCUCCCCUUUAGUCCGAACCACCCUCCCCUUUUAGCACAGAGUUACAGAGGAGAAGAAAAGGUGCCAGGUCUAUCAGACUCAGUGUAGGAACUAAGAGUUAAGAAUACGAGAAAAAAGGUCCGCAAGUGAAAUUUACAGUCGUAGUGACCGAGAAAGUAAAUUUUCCAAAGGAAGGAGCACGACGUAGUGCGCACAAAGGGAGAAAAAAUCCCAAAAGACGCUAGGUCAUUAUUAGUGGUCAGAAAAGAAGUUGAUGAUGCUGAUGACUUGGCAGAAAGUCAGUUUUAUAAAGCAGGCAUUGCAGAUUAAUGAGCACGUUUACACCGUACAUUUAGUCUGCGACCUAUACACUAUAUUCGACCCAAACACGAUAGGUCACAACGAUGUAAACACUCGCGAACUUGUUUGGGUCUGGUCACUUUUUCACGAUCUCUAGCCCAUUUUAGGCCACACAACGUAACGCGUGUAAACGGUGGUGUACUAUAAAGCGGGUAAGUGUACCAGCAAAUGCUAAUAGAUGGAUCUGCUUUAUAGCAUACACAUAUAAACUACUUACAGUCUGUCAAGUAAGAGCGUGGCCGGAUAAAUUUAUAAAAAAAAACUUAUUAAAUAAAAUUUUUAUAUACAUAUAUGUAUUAUACUCGAUAAGAAGAAGAAUGCAAUUAUGUUAAUAAUGCGUCCAAUCACCAUCGGCGUCAAUAAUUGCCUGGCAUCUCCGAGGCAUGCUUUCGACUAAAUUGACGGCAUUCUAGCGGCAAUGAUCUCCAGAUCCGACGAAUCUUGCAAGAUAACUCCUUCAAAGUGUGCGUGCGUUUUCCACAAAGCUUCUGCUUAAUAUAUGCCAAAACAUUUUCGAUAGGAUUUGCAUCGGGCGACUGCGACAGCCAACUCAAUGUAACGAUGCCAGAUUGCUUCUUCCACUCGGUACAGAACUUGCUGCGGUGUUUAGGAUUGCUUAACGUGUCUUUCUUCCAAAAAAUCAACGACAACUGAAUCUCUCUUGACAAUGCAUCAAGGACAGAGCUUCCCUCUAUCGAUUCAUGAAUAAAUUAGGAUGAUAUCUUUUAUAAGCUGUGAGUAAAGUCCACCACGCUCUUACUUGACAGACUAUACCUACGUUAGUCCAAACUUAUGUAUAGGUCUACACGGUGUAAACAAUUUGUUACUAGCCUACCUUAGGUCGCGGUAUAGGUCAAGGCAUAGGUCAGGUCGUAAGGUGUAAACUAGGCCAAUAAUAAGAUGGAAAUUUUUGUGACAUAGUGUAAUAUUUCAAAAAUUUUAAACGCAUUUUCCUCGGAACUGCAUUUUCCGAAACGAUGGGACUAAUAACUCAACAAUUUUUUAUCCAAUUGACUUCAAAUUUUAACUCAAUAUUCUCAGCAACAUUCUCUAUCGACUCAAGUAGGAUUUUGUCAAAAUAUUUUGUAGUACUUUUUAAUCUACAAUUAAAGUCGGUUUUUUUUUUUCGAAAAAAUUAUUAUUUUUCUUUAAACCAUCCCGAUUUCAAGAGAAAUCAAUAUUUUUAAAAAUCCCUACGAUAACUACAACAGUAUAGAUGAUGACUUUUUUUGUGUCUACCUAGGUUUGCCUAGGUUGAUCUGUUUUGCCGAAAUCAGUCCUACCGUUUGGGCCCGUCUCGCGAAAGGUGUUUCCGUAAUUUGAGCACGAAGUCGUCAUUUUGUGAUUUAAACGGAAUAAAAAAAA